rnacentral:rRNA from 1 species
UACGGGGGGGGCAAGCGUUGUUCGGAAUUACUGGGCGUAAAGGGCUCGUAGGCGGCCAACUAAGUCAGACGUGAAAUCCCUCGGCUUAACCGGGGAACUGCAUCCGAUACUGGAUGGCUUGAAUUCGGGAGAGGGAUGCAGAAUUCCAGGUGUAGCGGUGAAAUGCGUAGAUAUCUGGAGGAAUACCGGUGGCGAAGGCGGCAUCCUGGACCGACAUUGACGCUGAGGAGCGAAAGCCAGGGGAGCAAACGGG